GACGAACGCUGGCGGCGUGCUUAACACAUGCAAGUCGAGCGGAAAGGCCCUGCCUUUGUGGGGUGCUCGGGUGGCGAACGGGUGAGUCACACGUAAGUAACCUGCCUUUGACUUUGGGCUAACUUAAGGGAAGUGGAACUACUACCGGAUAAGAGAUUCGGCUGACUGGUGGGGGUUGGAUAGUUUCGGCGGUUGGGGAUGGACUCGAGGCUAAUCAGCUUGUUGGUGGGGUAGUGGCUAACCAAGGCUUUGACGGGUGGCCGGCCUGAGAGUGUGACCGGCCACAUUGGGACUGAGCUACGGCCCGCAGUCCUGCGGGAGGCAGCAGUGGGGGUUAUUGCACGAUGGGCGGAAGCCUGAUGCAGCAACGCCGCCUGCGGGAUUAUGGCCUUCGUGUUUAUAACCGCUUUCGCCUGUGACUAAGCGUGAGUGACGGUAAUGGGUAAAGAAGCACCGGCUAACUACGUG
rnacentral:rRNA from 1 species